UUUUUUUUUUUUCUUCGUAUUCGGAGCCGAAAAUUUCUUUGGUUACUCUUCUUGAUGGGGCGGAGAGAGAGGAAAAGUGUAGUAGUGUAGACAGGUCGAAGGCCAUCCGUAAUUACUCAGAUAAAUCCUGAUACUUUUGAUGAUGCGCGCUUCUAAUGUCAGCUUAUGAACCCUUCUAGAGUGAGCAAAAUGAUUUUUAAGCCCUUUAAUUCAGAGUAAACCUAUUGAGGUCAUAAGAAAGAUAACCUCGAAUUUCACUCCAGAUUCCCAGUUGUACUUGUUGUACUCGUCGCGUCUUGGAUCUUGUUACACUUUCAAUGUGUAUGUGCCUUCUUAUUAGUGUUUUUCUUUCUCGGCCAACAACAAAUGCAGAUCAUUUCCAUUCUCAUGUCAAGAUGUUGUGACGAACCAGCAUCAGGAUGGUAGAAAUUGUGCCCCUUGUGAUUGAGAGUUAUUUCUACAUUUGCUUGGAAUCCGCGCGUUGCGUGGAAGUUAUUGAUAAACCUGUGCCCUAAUUUUUUGAUGCUUUUAGUUAGUCAUCAGUUUUGAUGAUUGUUGUUAUAGUUGAGGUUUAAAUUCCCAUGGUGGUGUUGAGAUGAGAGCUUAGGAUAAGAGAGUCUUAGUAGUGCCUUUCUAAUUGUGGUUUGUAGAUCCUUUAUAAUUGAUUGGUGCAGAAGUGAGGUGUUGAAGUUUUAGUUUAUAAAAUAAAGUUUGUGAUGUAAAA